UCCCUGGGUUAAUUGCUUUAUUGGUCCUGCAGCUUACAAAAAUACGAAUACUUGCUUUCAAAGGACUUGAAACAACUCCAAGAAGGUAUUUGUUGCAUUGUGCAAGAAACAGAACAGGCUGCAUGCAGUUCCUUUCCUGCUCUCAUCCAGCAGUGUUACCUGAAGCUCCCUAUCUGGUUGUGUUCUUGAUAAACAGAAGGCAUAAACCCUCCAAAUAACUGCAACUGAGACACUUCUCCUUAUAACCCUUCAGAGAAGAGUGGUAGAAUUCCAGUCCCAGAUUUUC
rnacentral:lncRNA from 12 species